rnacentral:tRNA from 1 species
CGCGGGAUGGAGCAGUUGGUAGCUCGUCGGGCUCAUAACCCGAAGGUCGUAGGUUCAAGUCCUACUCCCGCA